UACGAAGGGGGCUAGCGUUGUUCGGAAUUACUGGGCGUAAAGCGCGCGCAGGCGGUUCUCCAAGUCAGUGGUGAAAGCCCGGAGCUCAACUCCGGAACUGCCCAUUGAAACUGUUGAACUUGAGGACGAGAGAGGUGAGUGGAAUUCCCAGUGUAGAGGUGAAAUUCGUAGAUAUUGGGAAGAACACCAGUGGCGAAGGCGGGCUCACUGGCUCGUAUCUGACGCUCAGGCGCGAUAGCGUGGGAUCAAACAGG
rnacentral:rRNA from 1 species